rnacentral:tRNA from 1 species
GGCGGCGAGGCUCUGGUCUCAGCUCCGUGCCUAGCUUGUAAACAGCAGGUCAGGGGUUCGAUUCCCCUCGUCGGCU